rnacentral:sRNA from 1 species
AUAAUUGUGGGCAUGAUGUAAUUUUUAAAAAGUGCAAAUUACCAAUGACCCCAAUAUGAUGAGCUCUGCAAUUGUUGGUUUCCACUUGUCAAAGUCCCCGUUAGUUACAUCUUGUCAUCUACCCCUAGAAAUCAAGGCGAUGGAAAAGUAAGCGUGAGGGAUCAGACUCUGGCAAUCGACAGAUCAAGGCUGCUGGGAAAGUCAUCAUCCAGGAUGUUGCUUGCCUCCUGCCUGUUCACAAAUCGCUGGGAGAACUGUACAUAUUGAAUGUGAAUGAUAUUCAGGAAACGUGUCAGAAGAAUGCCGCCUCUGCCUUGCUCGUUGGAAGAAAGGAUCUUGUCCAGGUUUGGUCGCUGGCUACGGUAGCUACAGAUCUUUGCCUUGGUCCGAAAUCUGACCCAGAUUUGGAAACACCCUGGGCUCGACAUCCAUUUGGGCGGCAGCUGCUGGAGUCCCUGUUGGCUCACUAUUGCCGGCUCCGGGAUGUUCAGACAUUGGCGAUGCUCUGUAGCGUGUUUGAAGCCCAGUCUCGGCCUCAGGGGAUACCAAACCCCUUUGGGCCUUUU